CCAAUAGCGUAUAUUAAAGUUGUUGCAGUUAAAAAGCUCGUAGUUGAAUUUCGGGAUUGACACAUCGGUCGUGCCUUAAGGGGUAUGAACUGGUGUAGUCAAUUUCUCACCUUCUGGAGAACCGCGAUGCCCUUAAUUGGGUGCCACGGGGAACCAGGACCUUUACUUUGAAAAAAUUAGAGUGUUUAAAGCAGGCAUUUUGCUUGAAUACAUUAGCAUGGAAUAAUAAAAUAGGACGGCAUGAUUCUAUUUUGUUGGUUUCUAGGAUCACCGUAAUGAUUAAUAGGGAUAGUUGGGGGCAUUAGUAUUCAAUUGUCAGAGGUGAAAUUCUUGGAUUUAUUGAAGACUAACUACUGCGAAAGCAUUUGCCAAGGAUGUUUUCAUUAAUCAAGAACGAAAGUUAGGGGAUCGAAGACGAUCAGAUACCGUCGUAGUCUUAACCAUAAACUAUGCCGACUAGGAAUCAGACGAUGUUAAUUUUUUAAUGACUCGUUUGGCACCUUACG
rnacentral:ncRNA from 2 species